rnacentral:rRNA from 1 species
CGACGCCGCGUGAGUGAAGAAGGUCUUCGGAUCGUAAAACUCUGUCCUUGGUGACGAAAAAAUGACGGUAGCCAAGGAGGAAGCCCCGGCUAACUACGUGCCAGCAGCCGCGGUAAUACGUAGGGGGCGAGCGUUGUCCGGAUUUACUGGGCGUAAAGGGUGAGUAGGCGGUAAUAUGUGUCAGAUGUAAAAGGCUAUGGCUUAACCAUAGUUGGCAUUUGAAACUGUAUUACUUGAGUGCAGGAGAGGUAAGUGGAAUUCCUAGUGUAGCGGUGAAAUGCGUAGAUAUUAGGAGGAACACCAGUGGCGAAGGCGACUUACUGGACUGUAACUGACGCUGAGUCACGAAAGCGUGGGUAGCAAACAGGAUUAGAUACCCUGGUAGUCCACGCUGUAAACGAUGAGUGCUAGGUGUUGGGUAGCGAUAUUCAGUGCCGAAGUAAACACAAUAAGCACUCCGCCUGGGGAGUACGGUCGCAAGACUGAAACUCAAAGGAAUUGACGGGGACCCGCACAAGCAGCGGAGCAUGUGGUUUAAUUCGAAGCAACGCGAAGAACCUUACCAAGGCUUGACAUCCCCUUGACCGGCACAGAGAUGUGCCCUCUCCUUCGGGAGCAAGGGUGACAGGUGGUGCAUGGUUGUCGUCAGCUCGUGUCGUGAGAUGUUGGGUUAAGUCCCGCAACGAGCGCAACCCUUAUCCUUAGUUGCCAGCAGGUAAAGCUGGGCACUCUAAGGAGACUGCCGAUGAUAAAUCGGAGGAAGGUGGGGAUGACGUCAAAUCAUCAUGCCCCUUAUGUCUUGGGCUACACACGUGCUACAAUGGUCGGUACAAAGGGCAGCGAAAGGAGUGAUCUGGAGCAAAUCCCAAUAAACCGAUCCCAGUUCGGAUUGUAGGCUGCAACUCGCCUACAUGAAGUCGGAGUUGCUAGUAAUCGCGAAUCAGAACGUCGCGGUGAAUGCGUUUCCCGGGUCUUGUACACACCGCCCGUCACACCAUGGAAAGUUUGGUAAUACCCAAAGUCGCUGAGCUAA